rnacentral:pre_miRNA from 1 species
AGUGGAAUUGCUAGGUCAUAUGGCAAGUACAUGUUCAUCUUUGUAAGAAGCUACAGAACUAUUUCCUAAAAUGGCUAUAACAUGUUGCAUUUCCAUAAACAAU